UACGAAGGGGGCUAGCAUUGCUCGGAAUCACUGGGCGUAAAGCGCACGUAGGCGGAUUGCUAAGUCAGGGGUGAAAUCCUGGAGCUCAACUCCAGAACUGCCUUUGAUACUGGCAACCUUGAGUCCGGGAGAGGUGAGUGGAACUGCGAGUGUAGAGGUGAAAUUCGUAGAUAUUCGCAAGAACACCAGUGGCGAAGGCGGCUCACUGGCCCGGUACUGACGCUGAGGUGCGAAAGCGUGGGUAGCAAACAGG
rnacentral:rRNA from 1 species